rnacentral:lncRNA from 1 species
UCGAGAUUUAAAUACAUAGCACCUGGUGAGAGUUUAAAGGUGACUAGAAAUGUAUUUUGGCUCAAAGCUUCAGAUUUUUUACUCAAAUUAGGUGAAAAAGAUGACAUAGCAAAGCUAUAAACACAAGCUGGAAGGUAAUUUAUGGUGGUCAGCUUACCUGAGACGAGGAUUCCGACGAGCAGCUGAAGAAGAAGACUGAUUGACGCAGCAAGAGAUCGCCUCACUUUCCUUUAUGAGAAUGACAAUUUAUUAUUCUUUCCUUUGCUCUUUUAAAUUAGGUUUCUUAAUUGUUUUUUUUAAUUUUUUUGGUUUUUCUGUUGAAUGGUUGGUUGAUCCAGACCAUAUCAC